rnacentral:rRNA from 1 species
UACAGGGGGUGCAAGCGUUGUUCGGAAUUACUGGGCGUAAAGGGCGUGUAGGCGGUUUAGAAAGUCAGAUGUGAAAUCCCGGGGCUUAACUCCGGAAGUGCAUUUGAAACUUCUAGGCUAGAGUGCAGUAGAGGAUGGUGGAAUACCCAGUGGAGAGGUGAAAUUCGUAGAUAUUGGGUGGAACACCGGUGGCGAAGGCGACCAUCUGGGCUGCAACUGACGCUGAGGCGCGAGAGCGUGGGGAGCAAACAGG